rnacentral:rRNA from 1 species
AUUGAACGCUGGCGGCAUGCCUUACACAUGCAAGUCGAACGGUAACAGGUCUUCGGAUGCUGACGAGUGGCGAACGGGUGAGUAAUACAUCGGAACGAGCCCGAGAGUGGGGGAUAACGAGGCGAAAGCCUUGCUAAUACCGCAUACGAUCUCAGGAUGAAAGCAGGGGACCGCAAGGCCUUGCGCUCACGGAGCGGCCGAUGGCAGAUUAGGUAGUUGGUGGGAUAAAAGCUUACCAAGCCGACGAUCUGUAGCUGGACUGAGAGGACGACCAGCCACACUGGGACUGAGACACGGCCCAGACUCCUACGGGAGGCAGCAGUGGGGAAUUUUGGACAAUGGGCGCAAGCCUGAUCCAGCCAUGCCGCGUGCAGGAUGAAGGCCUUCGGGUUGUAAACUGCUUUUGUACGGAACGAAAAGGCUCUGGUUAAUACCUGGGGUCCAUGACGGUACCGUAAGAAUAAGCACCGGCUAACUACGUGCCAGCCGCCGCCGUAACAC